rnacentral:rRNA from 1 species
UACGUAGGGUGCAAGCGUUAAUCGGAAUUACUGGGCGUAAAGCGCGCGUAGGUGGUUUGUUAAGUUGGAUGUGAAAAUCCCCGGGCUCAACCUGGGAACUGCAUUCAAAAACUGACAAGCUAGAGUAUGGUAGAGGGUGGUGGAAUUUCCUGUGUAGCGGUGAAAUGCGUAGAUAUAGGAAGGAACACCAGUGGCGAAGGCGACCACCUGGACUGAUACUGACACUGAGGUGCGAAAGCGUGGGGAGCAAACAGG